AGCGAACGCUGGCGGCAGGCCUAACACACGCAAGUCGAACGGCUCUUCGGAGCAGUGGCGGACGGGUGAGUAACGCGUGGGAACGUGCCCUUUGGUUCGGAACAACACAGGGAAACUUGUGCUAAUACCGGAUGUGCCCUUCGGGGGAAAGAUUUAUCGCCAUUGGAGCGGCCCGCGUUGGAUUAGGUAGUUGGUGGGGUAAAGGCCCACCAAGCCUACGAUCCAUAGCUGGUCUGAGAGGAUGAUCAGCCACACUGGGACUGAGACACGGCCCAGACUCCUACGGGAGGCAGCAGUGGGGAAUCUUGCGCAAUGGGCGAAAGCCUGACGCAGCCAUGCCGCGUGAAUGAUGAAGGUCUUAGGAUUGUAAAAUUCUUUCACCGGGGAAGAUAAUGACGGUACCCGGAGAAGAAGCCCCGGCUAACUUCGUGCCAGCCGCCGCCGUAAGAC
rnacentral:rRNA from 1 species